rnacentral:pre_miRNA from 1 species
AAUAGAUGACGCCAUUGACUUUUUCUCACAUGUUUGACCAUUCGUCGUAUUCAAAAAAUUUAUGUAAUUAUAAUUUAUUUUGUUAUGAGUUGUUUUAUUACUCAUAAUACUUUAAGUGUGAUUUAUAUCUUAUACAUUUGCAUAAAAUUUUUUAAUAAAAUGAAUGGUCAAACAUGUCAGAAAAAGUCAACAGCGUCAUCUAUU